rnacentral:rRNA from 1 species
UACAGAGGUGGCAAGCGUUGUUCGGAAUUACUGGGCGUAAAGGGCGCGUAGGCGGUCCGAUAAGUCCUGUGUGAAAUCCCUCGGCUCAACUGAGGAACUGCACGGGAGACUGCCGGGCUUGAGUUCGGGAGAGGGAAGCGGAAUUCCGGGUGUAGCGGUGAAAUGCGUAGAUAUCAGGAGGAACACCGGUGGCGAAGGCGGUUCUCUGGGCAUUACCUGACGCUGAGGAGCGAAAGUGUGGGGAGCGAACAGG